rnacentral:rRNA from 1 species
AUUGAACGCUGGCGGCAUGCUUUACACAUGCAAGUCGAACGGCAGCACGGGUGCUUGCACCUGGUGGCGAGUGGCAGACGGGUGAGUAAUACAUCGGAACGUGUCCAGAAGAGGGGGAUAACGCAUCGAAAGAUGUGCUAAUACCGCAUAUACUCUAAGGAGGAAAGCAGGGGAUCGAAAGACCUUGCGCUUUUGGAGCGGCCGAUGUCUGAUUAGCUAGUUGGUGGGGUAAGGGCCCACCAAGGCGACGAUCAGUAGUUGGUCUGAGAGGACGACCAGCCACACUGGGACUGAGACACGGCCCAGACUCCUACGGGAGGCAGCAGUGGGGAAUUUUGGACAAUGGGCGCAAGCCUGAUCCAGCAAUGCCGCGUGAGUGAAGAAGGCC